ACACGGCAUACGCCAUGGAUUCAGCCUCGUACGCGCUCGCGCGUGUGUAGACCAUCCAGAGAACUCGUUGCUUCGGUUUGAUUGACGUCUAUUGGCCCUGCAGCCUGCUGUUUUUUUUUACCAUCCAAACCCCCCUACCCCAUCUUUCUCGCUACCCCCAAACCCCAUCUCCUCUUAUGGCGUUUUUGAUGUCUCUUUUUUGAGACCGCUCAGUAAAACGGCUUGCCUAUCCUCUACCUGUCUCUUCCCUAUUUCUCUCUACCUUAUUUACCGCUAUCAUUAUUGGUUUCUCAUUUCUCCGGAAAUGCACAAGAAAAACAAACAAACUUGAAAAAACCCGACCCUUUGAAAAAACCUGACACUUUGAAAAAAUCCAGAAACUUGAAAAAAAAAAAAAAAUCUUUUUGAAAUAGAAAGUACCAUCUCACUACAAACUGGUUUGUUUUGAGAAAUCUCCUUCUGUACCUAUUGUCACUCCCUUUUUUCACUUUUUUUUUUUCCUGUAGUUCACGCUGAAGAGAUGCCAAAGAAAAGCAAAAGAUCCCAAGCGGCUAAAGUAAGGUGGUGUAAGUCUGGUGAGUUUCCGCUCAAAACACAAGCUGAACAUGUGCAGAAUUGUGAUCCUGACAGCAGCAGAGAAGUACAUUUUCCUGACCAUUCUCAUGCUAAUGUGACAUGUGUGUUAGCAUCCUACAGUCAGAGCCAUCAUAGAUAUAUUGAUUCAAAAAACAGUCAGGGCACCUGUAACUCUGUGACAUUUCUAGCUUUCCUGCACGAGUUACAUCACCUGCAAAGCGCAGACCUUGAUCAGAUUUUGGAUCGCUGCCAUGCAAUGUAUGCCCUUACACUGGGACAGUUAUGUGUCGAUGGAACAAUGGUGCAUGGACACUUGAAUAUACAGGAAC
ensembl:lncRNA